GACGAACGCUGGCGGCGUGCCUAAUACAUGCAAGUCGAGCGAAUCGGCGGAUGGGUGAGUAACGCCUGGGUAACCUGCCCUUAAGUCUGGGAUCCCAUUUGGAAACAGAUGCUCAUCCCGGAUAAUCAAGGAUGGACCUGCGAUGCAUUAGCUAGUUGGUAAGGUAACGGCCUACCACGGCGAUGAUGCAUAGCCGGGGUGAGAGACUGAUCGGCAACAUUGGGACUGAGACACGGCCCAAACUCCUACGGAAGGCAGCAGUGGGGAAUAUUGCACAAUGGGCGCAAGCCUGAUGCAGCCAUGCCGCGUGUAUGAAGAAGGCCUUCGGGUGGUAAAGUACUUUCAGCGAGGAGGCGUUACUCGCAGAAGAAGCACCGGCUAACUCCGUGCCAGCCGCCGCGGUAAUAC
rnacentral:rRNA from 1 species